rnacentral:rRNA from 1 species
GAUGAACGCUGGCGGCGUGCCUAAUACAUGCAAGUCGAGCGAACAGAUGAGGAGCUUGCUCCUCUGACGUUAGCGGCGGACGGGUGAGUAACACGUGGAUAACCUACCUAUAAGACUGGGAUAACUUCGGGAAACCGGAGCUAAUACCGGAUAAUAUAUUGAACCGCAUGGUUCAAUAGUGAAAGACGGUUUUGCUGUCACUUAUAGAUGGAUCCGCGCCGCAUUAGCUAGUUGGUAAGGUAACGGCUUACCAAGGCAACGAUGCGUAGCCGACCUGAGAGGGUGAUCGGCCACACUGGAACUGAGACACGGUCCAGACUCCUACGGGAGGCAGCAGUAGGGAAUCUUCCGCAAUGGGCGAAAGCCUGACGGAGCAACGCCGCGUGAGUGAUGAAGGUCUUCGGAUCGGAAAACUCUGUUAUUAGGGAAGAACAAAUGUGUAAGUAACUAUGCACGUCUUGACGGUACCUAAUCAGAAAGCCACGGCUAACUACG